GCAUUGGUAGUUCUAUGGUAGAAUUCUCGCCCGCCACGCAGGAGGCCCGGGUUCAGUUCCCAGCCAAUGCA
rnacentral:tRNA from 1 species